GGCCUGAUAGCUCAGGGGUUAAGAGCACUAGACAUGUAAUCCAAAAUUAGUGGUCACUGGUUCAAAUCCAGCUCAGGUCA